AGUGAUUGGCCCAGCUCUUCAGAUUUCGGUGGCCAGCCCUGUCUUCCAGAGUCCCUUCUACUCUACUGUUGGAUGUCUUACUCUGUCCUCAGGUCCCAUGACAAUAGACAUGAAUUUCCUCAUUGCACAGGGUGAUAUCCUUGGAGAAUCAAACCUACCCAGAAGGAACAAUAAGUCACCAGUAUCUGCCUUGAAGAACUGCGUCCUGACAAGAACAUCCUAGAGCCUGCCUCCUCUGCCAGCCUGGCUAUGUGCAGACUGCCAAACAUUUCACCUACUGCCCACUCACUGCUAGCCAUAUCAUUCUAACAUUCAGAUCUUAUCCGGUCAAAUAUUAUUACUUUCU
ensembl:lncRNA